UAGGGAAUCUUCGGCAAUGGACGAAAGUCUGACCGAGCAACGCCGCGUGAGUGAAGAAGGUUUUCGGAUCGUAAAACUCUGUUGUUAGAGAAGAACAAGGACGUUAGUAACUGAACGUCCCCUGACGGUAUCUAACCAGAAAGCCACGGCUAACUACGUGCCAGCAGCCGCGGUAAUACGUAGGUGGCAAGCGUUGUCCGGAUUUAUUGGGCGUAAAGCGAGCGCAGGCGGUUUCUUAAGUCUGAUGUGAAAGCCCCCAGCUCAACCGGGGAGGGUCAUUGGAAACUGGGAGACUUGAGUGCAGAAGAGGAGAGUGGAAUUCCAUGUGUAGCGGUGAAAUGCGUAGAUAUAUGGAGGAACACCAGUGGCGAAGGCGGCUCUCUGGUCUGUAACUGACGCUGAGGCUCGAAAGCGUGGGGAGCAAACAGG
rnacentral:rRNA from 1 species